CAAAAAAAGGGGAUGAACAAUUCUUAUUUGUCACCUACAUAUGUCCAUUUUAUGGUUGCUCUAUCUUGCAACAUUUUAAUAGCGGGCUAUAACAUUUACAUUUACUUAAAUAGUGGUCUAAGAUUGUUAGGGAUCAUGUCCGCAAAAAAAGGGGAUGAACAAUUCUUAUUUGUCACCUAUAUUUGGUGACAAAUAAGGGUUUUCCCCUCCUUUUCUUUUUGUGUGUUGGGUUUGAGCCCAACCCAUUGUAGUUUCCAUACUUUCACCAAGUGGGUUGUUGGUGUUAGUUUUUUUCUUUUAAUGUUAGAGCAUGGCAAUAGAGGUCGACACAACUCAAUGCAGCCUGCUGAAGCCUCAAUUGCUGAGGUGAUAUGGUUGCUACUGUAAUGGGUUGACUGUAACAUCUUUUUCUCUUAAUACAAAGAUACACAGACCUCCCGCAUGUUCGAGAAAAAAAAAAGGUGUGCACAACAUUUAAGUUCAAUCUAAAGGAAUUUUUAUUCCCUUGCUCC
rnacentral:lncRNA from 1 species